rnacentral:rRNA from 1 species
GUCAACAUCCUUAACGAAUGUAAUCACGUUCUAACCUGUUGAACGUUAUCUUAGAUGACCGUAAGCACGCUUUCGGCACCUGAGCAACUUUCAGAGGCCAGACGGAUAGCCCAAAGGGUAUUCGUUGCAAUCCUCAGUCUCAAUCACCACAUCUACCAGAGGCUAUAACACUUCAACCGAAAUCGAAGCUACAUUCCGCCGGUCAUUUUAUGAUAAUCUAAACUGACGUUGGCCUACCAUACGAAAAAGUACACCCAAAACGCACAAACAUGCAAACAGCGAGGCCGAAACUCACGCACGCCCACAAGUUCGCACACGAUAAGUUGAUUUCUCGUCGGUACGACUGACUUCAAUCGUUUCCCUUUCAA